AGCGGAAUGGUGUAACGGUAGCACUUGCGACUCUGACUCGUACAGUUAAGGUUCGAAACCUUAUUCCGCUGCCA
rnacentral:tRNA from 1 species